AAUGAGCUGCAUCGAGGAAACGGUCCCUUCUGAGAAGUUCUUUGACAAUCUGGGCAUGGACGUCAGCCAAGAACAAGCAGAUAUAUCUGACCAAGAAAUCAAAGUGGACUUGGAUGCAGUCAUUCAACAACUGGAAGGAAUAGAUCUCCAACUGCAAAGGACCAGGCCUGGUGAGAGCCACUGCAGAGGAUCAUAGCCAUCGUUGGAGUUAUGAAAGGACGUGGGUGAAUAUCAAUCUGCCAAAUGAACUUUUUUAGCGUGCAUCUUCACAUCUGUAUAUUAAUACUGAUAUGAUACUAUA